rnacentral:lncRNA from 1 species
AUGUGCAGCCGUAGCCUCCCGGUUCGUCUUCUCAGGACUCCAGAGAACCGUUGGGGAACUUUGGGGUGUGCUCGGAAAAUGCAGGGUGCACACCUAGGGCGAGGGACUAGCUGGGAAGGGUGUGCCUGUGCUUGGGGAUGGGAGCAGGAAGUGUCUGAGACCUCGUCGCCCCCCGCGGCGGUGUAUAAACCCGGGCGGGCCGUCAGAGCGGAUGCGCUGCUGUCACACAUGUCCACCACCACAUGUGACAUUAGUGACGUUAUCCUGAUGUCACAGGAUCCAAGAAUGAUGAUCUGUGAAGAGUUUUCCAAGGUCACCUACUUCUAACCCUUUUGAAAGAUUUAAAGACAUUGGGCCUGAAAACUUCAGUGACUUGUCCAGGGAAACGCAGUUUGUGACAGUUCACUCUCUCACAGGUAAGUUACCAAAAGCAUCUAUCAAAAGGGCCUUUUGAGAAAUACUUCCCAGCUGAAAUGAACAAUUAAAAAUUCCUGCCUUAAAUCACCCUGUCUCUUUUACUAGGCUUUCCGUGGAUUGUGUAGACCAGGGGUUAAAUAAUAUUACUGAGAAAAAUAGAUAAAUGAUGCAUACUGAGUAUUUUUCUGCUAAGUUAACUUUAAUGAAGGAAUAGUGUCCUGUCGUUUGGCGUGCUUUAAUUCAACUAAUCGGUUGUUUUGAUUUCUUUCUGUUAUUCAGAAGGACGCGUGCGUUAUUGUUAAAUCAGUCGAGUAAAGUUUAUGUUCACUCAGUAAAAAACUGCAGAUUUCAGCUCCAUGGUCAUUUCAGAAUCACACAAAGACAGGUGUUGCUGCCUUUCCAUGAUCCUUCUUGUGCCUUUUCAAGGCCCAGAGGGCCCUGUGCGUAUGGGGAGAAUGAUCCCCAACUGGGGUGCUGAGAUUUGAGGAGGUGAAACUAAGAGCUGUAAGACAGCUAAAUCUCAGGACCCCUGUCUUCUUUCUGUCCCCUCAGCUGAACCACAGCCCUCUGUACUCGCCCAGGAGCCACAGAAAGUGCACAUCCCUCAGGUGAGCUCUUUAUUCAUUCCCCACUUUAUAUUGUAAUGGAUUUAUAAGGUUUAGCAGGAUCCAUGCAUUAAAGGAAAAGGAGAAGUAGAAAUAGUAGAAAUCAAGUCAGUGUUGAGGAAAAAUAUACCGUGUUUUACUAUUAAUUGUGAUGUUAGCUGUUAGCUUUGAGUGGGUAACCUUAUCAGGGGAAGUAGUUUCCCACUAAGCUACCUGUUUCAAUCUCUUUACUUGUGAUUGGGCUAUUCAGAUUCUCUGUUUCUUCUUGAUUCAGUUUUGGGAAGUUGUAUGAGUCUUAGAAUUUG